CAUGGAUGAAGACAUGAAUCCUUAUCAUCCAAGAAACGCUUCUCACUCAUAUCACUCAUUCACUUUUAAUACCUGUGGUGAGGUAAACAAGAAUGGAUUCUGUUWCAACGUCAGUGUUCAUAACAUUUCGCAAGGUUCUAUACUUGACAAUUCAUGUUGCUUCUGCAMCUCAUAUACUUCAAGAUGUUGGCGCCAUUCCGUGUCACAGUUGGAAUAGACUGCAUAGUAAUUACACCAAAAACGAAAAUGUGYGAGGUGUCAGAUAACGGHGAUGGUGGACCUGCUUUUACUGUUAGAAGGUGCAGUUGCUCGACAUGCCCUACUCCAUGUGGUUCAAGUGYUCUGUGUAGGGCAGACCAGGAACCCUCUGAUUACUUGAAAUAUAAACAUCAUGUUUUCAUUGAUUCUACACUGAUUUGGAUCAUGAUGAGUGUAACAAUGUUCUGAAGAUGCUUCCCGAUAUCUUUCCUCCUACUCAAAUGGAUCUUGGCAACAGUUCUKAUGAAUGUCCUGCUAUGGGGACUUAAAGCGUGCUUCACCACWAAGCAAUAGAUAAUGGUUUCUGGAGAUCUUAUUGGCCAUCGAGCUUUUAGUUCAAGAUUAUUCACCAUCUUCAAAAAAGAGUGGCUCUUUAGUGCUUCUGUAAGCAUGCUAAAGAUUCAAACUUUUUGUCCUCUAUGCAGUUUACUGUCCGAGUGGCAGAUGUCAGGUUGCGUCUUCGGGMACAUUUGGUUCACAWCACCAUGUCAAGGGUCCAUCUUUCAUUCAAGGUUACAAGGACUCUCAUGAAWUUUCRGAAUCAUUGAWGAAAUAUUUUGAGAKGUUUCGACUAGACAUUGGGUUUGUGCAAKAAAUUAUAGAACAACUCUUGCAUGUGUAGAGCCUGUUCAGGAUGUAUUAUAUGCAAAGACCUCCUAACUGAUUCAUCCUUAACAACUGUAAAUAAAAAGAUCAAGAUUAAGGAAGAUGCCAUAYGGAGCAAAAGGGAGAGCAUARUAGUUACACAAUCAAUGAGGGUAAGGUACAUAUUGUACUUACUAGUUGUAGAAAAUGUUUAAUUGUUCUAAUAGAUUGUUUUAUAUGUUGGACAUGUUUAUAGUUCUAACCAUCGUGUGCUCUUUGUAAAUAUUUUGCGAUAAGUUUAUACCAAGUUUUUGGAUGUCUUCGCAA